GUUAGAAAACCGAGAAAAGAUUGGGGAAAAACUCCGGAUGCCCCAGAUGUUGAACCAGCUGACGACCUGGAACGAGUCCGGAUCUGUCGGAACUCACUUUGUCAUGGGCCACAGUCAAUUAGCGAUACGGAAUUUGAAAAGAAAUGGAAAGAAUUAAAGGAGAUCAUACACAGACUUGCUGGAGGUGUACUAGAUGGAGAGAUAGAUUCUCUACAAAACAAAGAUCUAGAUCACUCAGCACGGUCCUCUCUUAAACGAAACUUGACCGUUUUGACAGAAAGACUUCGAAACAUAGAGAAAUGCGUCGAGGAUCACAUUCCAAAGAACAUAAGAGAACAACUUCAGAGAAAAGUUCAAAAGUGGAGAGAGG